UACGUAGGGGGCUAGCGUUGUCCGGAAUCAUUGGGCGUAAAGAGCGCGUAGGCGGCCAGAUAAGUCCGGUGUGAAAGUCACAGGCUCAACCUGUGAAUGCCGCUGGAAACUGUCUGGCUAGAGUCCGGAAGGGGCGAGUGGAAUUCCUGGUGUAGCGGUGAAAUGCGCAGAUAUCAGGAGGAACACCAAUGGCGAAGGCAGCUCGCUGGAACGGUACUGACGCUGAGUGAGCGAAAGCCAGGGGAGCAAACGGG
rnacentral:rRNA from 1 species